UUGAUUUGAUUAUGUGGAUCUUCACACCAACACCGGCAUCAAAGAAUCGAAGAUCACGUUUCAAACAAGUCCAACAACCUCCACCUUCACGUUUUAAUCAAUUACCCGUAACUCCCAUCUCCUCCUGCUAAUUCUCCGCCUGCUCCUUGUGAAUUUUGCACACAAAUCCUCACUGAGGCAUUAAAACAAACACUUUCUGGGCGCUAGGCAAAGGCAUUUCCCUCUCAAAUCGGGAUCGCAAACGCCCCGCGAUUGGGUUCGUGCGUUCCAGAACGCGGGUCGCCGGCAACAUGAGCGUUUCCGGUAACUCUGGUGCGAAGCUGUGAAGCUUGCAGGUGGCGUGUAGGCUUUUGCCUUAGCCAAAAGUGACGUGUGUAUAAUCAAAACCAAGUCCUUUCGGUCGUUCUAAGGUCGUAAACUCCAUGACUAGUUAGCAAAAGCUCCCUGACAUGAACAUAAACUAACUCAGAGGACCUAGAGGAUCCGAUUAUGAUGAUAAUUUUCCAGCUUUGAUAAGUCUUCAACGUCUUUUGCAAGACGGCAAUUGGUUUAAUAGCGUAGGGGGAUCCAAAAUCAAAAGCUUUCGGUAACUCCAAGUCAGUAUGACCAGACAUGUUCGUGGAGGGUCGGUAGUACGAGGCACACUUAAAACCAAUAUCUCCUUAAUUUUGGACAAUUCUAAGACAUCACACUGAGCUUGGAUGAGCCUAGUUGAACAAUUGAUGAUGAAAAAUCCGCUAUAGGGUAGAAGACUUAACCGGAAACACGUGGGCGAUCCUCCUUGAGGAUGCAGUGCCAUGAGUCACCUUUAAAGGAAGGGACCAAAAUCGGCACAAUAUGCCAUGUUUCUAAGGACGAUGUAAGUGUACAUCUUGAUUGUAAAUCAAUAUGAAUCAUAAAAGGAGAAUAGUUUCACUUCGAAAAAUUCUCAAGGCAUUCAUUAUUGCUAAUGUGAGUACAUCGAGGUCUCAAAUAGACAAAGGACGUCAAUACAACGCCUUAGUACAUAUAACUUGGAACGAAAAUCAAUGUCUAGCCGAUGACAUCAAAGUCAUGGGUAGCUAGAGCAGGAUCCAAAUCUUUGAAAUUCACGAUCAUGAGGAUGACGUUCUUGUCCUCAUAUUGAUUUUCUAUACCUUUUUAUAUGCAUUCACAAUUUAA
rnacentral:lncRNA from 1 species